AAAUUUUUAUGACAUUUGAACUACCUCAAUGUUAAACUUACAAUUUUUGCUAUUAUAAAUUUUUUGGAAACGUCUAUAUUUAUAAGACCAAAAAAAAAACUAAUAUUUCAUCUUUAAUAUAUAACAGUAACAGGAUUGAUGGAUAGUAUGCCACAAAGACACCCGGUAGAAGGUUGGUGCAAAAGGCCUCUACCUAACCAAAAACCAGGACCAUGUAAUAACGACCGUUGUUCGGCUAGGUGUAAGGAGCAGAAGCAAUUUGAGUUUAAAGGGGGCAAGGCAAUGGGUAUUUGCUCUAGUGAAAAUAGAUGUCUUUGCACUUUUCGUUGCCGAUAAUUUUGAUGCAUUUAUUUAUUUUAAAAUAAUAAUCAUUUGUUUUUCUCCUUUUCUGACAUCCAAAAAUCAUUUCAUAUUCCGUAUUAUAUAAUAUGUCUUAUUAAAA
rnacentral:sRNA from 1 species